rnacentral:rRNA from 1 species
ACUCCUACGGGAGGCAGCAGUGAGGAAUAUUGGUCAAUGGGCGCAAGCCUGAACCAGCCAUCCCGCGUGCAGGAAGACGGCCCUAUGGGUUGUAAACUGCUUUUCCAGGGAGAGAAACUUACGCACGUGUUGCGUGACUGACGGUACCCUGGGAAUAAGCAUCGGCUAACUCCGUGCCAGCAGCCGCGGUAAUACGGAGGAUGCAAGCGUUAUCCGGAUUCAUUGGGUUUAAAGGGUGCGUAGGCGGGCUAUUAAGUCAGUGGUGAAAUCCUGCAGCUUAACUGCAGAACUGCCGUUGAUACUGAUAGUCUUGAGUUUGGUUAAGGUAGGCGGAAUGUGUAAUGUAGCGGUGAAAUGCUUAGAUAUUACACAGAACACCAAUUGCGUAGGCAGCUUACUGAGCCGACACUGACGCUGAGGCACGAAAGCGUGGGGAUCAAACAGGAUUAGAUACCCUGGUAGUC